GGCAGCACCACAGCCAUAUUGCUUGAUCUCGUCUGAUCUUGGCAGGGUCGGCCUGUGUUAGUACUGGAUGGGAGACCGCUGGGAAUGCUGGGUGCUGCAA
rnacentral:rRNA from 1 species